rnacentral:lncRNA from 1 species
UGAUACAGGGACAAUUACUUAAAGCAUAUAGCUUUUCUGCAAUGUCGUGAUCCAGUAUUUGCCAUACCUAUGAAAGGCAAUAUAUAGACAAACAUAAAUUGAGUAUGCUGCCCUAAACUGCAACAUGCAAAGUGAAGUACAACCAAGGUCCAAUUCAUGGCUAGACAUCAAAUCUUACAACAAUUUAACUUCCACAAAUAAAACUAUAUUUAUUGUUUGUUUCUACAUACCAUUACUUAAAAUGAAAUUGAGACUACAUAAAAGUUAAAUAAAGAACAGUGGGUGGUAUGAAGUUCACUGUUUUGAAGCUGCCUGUUUUGAGUAAAGAUGUAGAACAAGCAGUAUGAUGAUAGUAAAGAAUAAUUGAAUACAAAGGUUGAGUCAAUGGAAAACCAUACAGAGAUAUUUCGUUGAAACAAGGAACUAAAACCACAUAAGUAUUUCCAAACGGAGGGAGUAUGUUUUAGCUUCUUAUUCAUUCGCCAAUAAUGUUUGUUCACUGAAUAGAUAGGAAUAAGUGAUAUUUUGGCUAUUCCAUUUCAGCUUUUGCAUUAAAUGAUGGAUAGGAGCUGGAUGAGUAAACUAAGAACCAGUGCAGAGUACAAACAUGGUGUUGAGCAGUUCCUUUCUUUUGCAUUCCAUGAUGUAAGAGAUGGUUUCAAGAUUCUGUGUCCAUGUGUAAAUUGCGCAAACAAGAGGAUGCAAACUUACGAUGAAGUAAAAACCCAUUUGAGAUGCCAUGGCAUCCUACAAGGAUAUACAACAUGGAUCUGCCAUGGAGAGCAAUUUCAUUCAUGUGAAGAUGUAUUUGACGAUGUGCUGCAUACCUCAAACAAUGCAUCUAUUUCAUAUAUCCAUGCGUAUGUUCCAAGACAAGGUGACUCUAGUAGACUAGAUGACACAUGAGGGCUCCUUAAUGCUGUUUUCAACAUGCCAGAUUAUGAUUCACUGGAUAGCAUAUCAGAUGAUGAUAAAGUUGUGCUCUCCAAUGAAGAAGGAAAUUUUCCAACUUUAUAUGAUGAGCAACUUGAGGCCCCUGAUAGAAUGGCUACAUCACCAGCAGAAGAGAAUGUUGCCACUGAAGGUCAAGAUGGGAGCAAAAAAGAAGAAACAUUUUUAAGCUUCUUGAAGGAUGCAGACUCAAACUUGUACGACGUAUGUCAAAUUUUUUCAAAGCUAUCCUUCUUAGUCAGGUUAUUUCACUUGAAGGUUUUACAUGGGUGGACUCAAGCAUCAUUCAAAUCGGUACUUGAUUUAUUAUCUGAUGCUUUUCCUGAAGAUGCAAGUCUACCAAAGAACUACCAUGAAGCAAAGAAAAUCAUUCAUGGUUUGGGUCUUAGCUACUAGAAAAUUCAUGCAUGUCCGAGAGAUUGCAUGCUCUAUUGGGGUGAGAGGGCUAACCAACAGUCUUGCCAUGUCUGUAAAAGCUCUCGAUGGGCUGAUAGAGACAAUGAUGAUAAAGAAACAAAUUCAAGGCAUAAAUAAAAGCCUGCGAAGGUAUUGCGCUACUUUCCACUGAUACCUAGACUGCAGAGGUUGUAUGAGACUAAUAAAACAUCAAAUGAUAUGAGGUGGCAUGAAGAGGGUCGUACAAAAGAUGGAUUGGUGCGCCAUCCAGCAGAUGGAGAAGCAUGGAAAGAUUUGGAUGCUCAUUAUCCUGACUUUGCCAAGGAUUGUCGCAACAUACGUCUUGGCAUAGUUAGUGAUGGGUUCAGUCCGUUCAGAAACAUGAGGUCAAAGCAUAGUACUUGGCCAGUGAUGCUUAUUCCUUACAACCUACCUCCCUAGAUUUGCAUGAAAGACACAUCUUUAAUUAUAUCAAUGAUCAUACCAGGACCCAGUAGUCCAGGGAAUGAUAUAGAUGUCUAUUUGCAGCCAUUAGUUGAAGAGCUCUUGCAACUAUGGAAAGGUGUGGACACAUUUGAUUGUACUACUAAAAAAAACUUUCGCCUCCAGGCUGCAUUCUAUGGACACUUAAUGAUUUCCUGCAUUAGCAUACUUAUAUGGUUGGAGUACAAAGGGGAGAUAUGCAUGUCCAUCUUGUGGGGAUUCUACAAGAUCAGUUUACCUAAAGAAAGGGAAGAAAUUUUCUUAUAUGGGCCAUCGUCGAUGGUUGCCACCUAUCGCCGGCAAAAGAAGAAGUUUGACGGAACUGUUGAGAAUGAACUUGCACCAAAAACUAUGAGUGGGAGUUCAGUGUUGAAAAUGUUGGAAGGAAGGGUGUUUGUGUAUGAAAAAAAAAAUAUGAGCCGUCAAAGAAAGGACAUACUGGAAAGAAAGCAAAAUCUAAGGCCAAAGGGAAAAGCAAUACGGGUAAAAACAAAAGAAAAAGAGAAACAUGCAAGAGAAAGUUAACUGGAGGCUCAACUAAGAACAAAAAGGAGCCAAAGGAGUGGCUGAAGAAGAAAUCAAUAUUCUUUUCCUUGCCAUACUGGGAGCACAACUUAUUGCGGCACAAUCUCGAUGUGAUGCACAUAGAAAAAAAUGUUUGUGAUAAUUUAAUAGGGACACUGCUAAAUAUUGAUUCUAAGUCAAAAGGUAAUCGAAAUGGUCGACUUGAUCUGGUAGAUAUGGGAAUUAGAGCUGCACUCCAUCCCGAUGAAGAUGACAAAGGUAAAGAACAGCUGCCACUUGCACCCUUUAAUAUGACAAAGGAACAAAAGGAGGCUCUCUGCUCAAUUAUUCAAAAACUUAGAACACCCGACGGUUAUGCAUCAUUCUUAUCAAGAUGUGUCGAUAUGAAGGAGCUUACAAUUAAGGGCCUGAAAAGUCAUGAUUGUCAUGUUCUUAUUGAGGAUAUUCUUCCAGCCGCACUGCACUCGUGUCAUCCAAGCAAAGAUGUUAUGAACAUUGUUUGUGAGUUAGCUGAUUUCUUCAAGAAUUUGUGCUCUAAGGUAUUAAGUAUCGCCGAGCUUGACAAAAUACAAAAUAGAAUUGUCCAGACACUUUGCAAUAUGGAAAAAAUAUUCAUUCCGUCAUUUUUUACCAUCAUGGUACAUUUAAUGGUGCACUUAGUGGAUGAAGUUAAGCUUGGGGGACCAGUACAUUAUAGGUGGAUGUAUCCUAUAGAAAGGCAAGUAAUCUAGUAUUUUGUACUUUGUAUCUUGUUUAGUUCAUGAUUCUAUCUUACAGAUUGUGUGCAAUUUAUGUUCAGGUACUUUGUCCGACUUAAGGCAUUUGUGCGCAAUUGAGCUCAUCCAGAAGGAUCUAUGGCAGAAGAAUACAUUGCUGAUGAAUGUAUGACAUUUUGUUCAAGAUUUAUAGAUGGACCAACUAGGUUCACAAGACCAGAGACAAACCCAAAUCCAUCAGACGAGAUACACGAUUCUUAUAUGUUUGAGAGUGCCGGUGAACUUGUAGGAAAAAUUGACAGUGUGUACCAGUUUAAUGAUCACUCGCUCAUUCAAGCACAUCGCUAUGUUCUGCGACAUUGUGAUGAAAUCGCCGACCUUCGAAGGUGCGCGAGAAUAAUCAACUACUCCCUCUGAUCCUUAUUAAUUGAUGCACAUUUAGUACAACUUUGUACUGAAGUUGUAGUAAGUGUGCAUCAAUUAAUUUAGAUCAGAGGGAGUAUAUAUUUUUACUUUGCACUUGAGUAAUGCUAAAUAUUUAUUUUUUCCAAAAAUUACACUAAUAGUAAUCCAUCUUACUUAUAUAGAGAAUUCCUGCACAUGGAGAAAAGUAAAGAAGAAGUUGUACGAGAUCUGACGUCACAUGAUGAGGAGCAGUUUAUCAAUGAACACUUUGCUGAUUGGUUAGAGCAAAAGGUACAUCACAAUUAACUUAGCAUCACAAAUUUUAUUGUUCUAUGGGUAAAAUAUUGUUGUUUUAUAGGUGCUAUUCGAUGACAGGCCUAAUUUAAUCAAGAAGGUAUGGCACUAGCUAGAAAGCCAAACAAGUCUGGGCUGCGGUAUAGUGGUGUUGUAAUCAAUGGGUAUCGGUUCCACACUAUUAGUGUGAGGAAGGACGCAAGACACAAAACAGUGGUGUGGUAAUCAGGUCAGAUAAGGGCAUUAACUACUAUGGCAGAUUGUCUGAUAUAAUAGAGAUAUCAUACGAAGACCAAUACAAGGUUGUGCUCUUCAAAUGUGAGUGGUAUGACGUACACAACCGUGCAGGUCUGCAAACAGAUGAAUUUGGAUUCACUCUUGUAAACUUUUCUCAAAUGAUGCACACAGGAGAAGAACUAGAAGACGAACCAUUCGUUUUUUCUUCUCAAGCUGAACAAAUAUUUUACAUAGAAGAUGGAAAAAACUGAAGAAUGGCAUGUGGUGAGGCAAUUCAGGCCAAGAGAUCUAUUUGACAUGGGUACGGAAUCAUCUUUGAAUAAUGCAGUGUGGGAUGUAGAUGGAAAUAAGAUCCCGAACCAUAUUGACAUUUACUGUGAAAUUAAUGUUUUAUUUACUUAUAUUGCCUUAUUUGAAGUUUUUGUACACAGACAAAACAUUUUUUAUCAAUUGGAAGUUCUCUGUAUUGAAAUGGCUUACCCCAACAAUUGUUGUUGGCUGGAAAGCUACCAUGCUUUUAAGUAUAUAGUUUCACCAUUCGAUAUCCCUACCUGCAUGAACACACAAUUGACAAUCAGUGUCAUACUUCUAUUAUGAGUACUGAAAAUGAACAUUGUAAUAGUAAGGUAAUAGGGGCCUAGUAUAAGUACCUGUACACCACACUUCUCCUUUGUCUGUAUGAGCAAAGGCUGUGUUAAUUAAAACACGCUUCAAAUUAUAACUUCGUCCAUGGCCUAUUAUGGCAAAUAAUUAAAUCAACAACUUUACCAUGUACUAGCUAAUCACUAAACAUUCUCAGCUAUGACUGGUUUUUUUCACUUUGGCAAGUAGAAUCACAAUCCUUGCUAACAAGUGCAAUCAUACUAGUCGCCAAUCACAAGAAUGUCACCUUGUUCACUUCAGAUUAUGCAUUCAGACAUAAUCUGAAUUGUUCAAACUCCCUGCUAAAAUAAUCCAACCUCAAAAUGCAAAGAAUAAUCAAACAUGCCGAAUCAUCAUCCUCACAUUCGACCACCAGCCCGACAUGGCCGUCGUGAGGCUGGGCGGCGUCGAGCACUCCCUUGACAUCUGCACUUCAUGGUACGGAUGCUCCUGGACGGCUAGCAUCGAGGGGCGGCAGACCUCCGGAUGAGUUCGACGAGCACCUCUCCACGAGCAGAACCUAUGCGAUGCCAACGAGGGAUGCUCCUG